UGAGUGAUGCAAAUGGUUAAUGCAUUUGGCUGCUAACCAAAAGGUUGGAGGUUGGUUCAAGUUCACUCAG
rnacentral:tRNA from 1 species